rnacentral:misc_RNA from 1 species
UGCUAGUGCACGGCUUCAGCCCAUCAUCGCUGUGCCCUCCGGUGUUCGAGCACUACCACGUUCCAUCGGCAAUGGGGCAUCAUGCAGAUCCAAACAAGUACGUGGCAUACCGCGACGCCACGGUGCUGCAGCGGCGCAUCGCGACCUUUGUACUGGUGUUUUCGGUCAUGAUUAUCGCCCUUGUAAUGACCUUCUCGUCAGUUCAGCACCGCGAGGCCCCGUGCCAGGAUCGCGCGCACGAGGUCGAGUUUGACUUCAUGAUCCGACCAGACUCCACCCACGAGGCCAUAGUGACAGCGCUGCAGACGAUCCUGGAAAAGCGUCGCUGCUGGCUGGACUUUGCUCCUCAGAAUGACGAUGCGCCGACAAUGGUACAGCUGAACGUACUCGACACCACGACUGGCCUUAUAGCCGGGCGUGGCUUCCGUGUGGUGCGUCGCAGUGACGGCUCAAACUAUCACUACGAGCUUCGCGCCGUCUUCGACAAACUAUGCGGCACCUAUCCGCCCAUCUCCAUGGAGGUGAUGGCCAACGUGGACUACGAAAGGGUGACGUACAACAUCAAAGCCGCCUCCCUGAUGAACAGCACAGUGAAAUACUUGCAGCACAGCUCGUUGCUCACGAAGGAGAAGAACCGCGUGACAACCGUGACGCAGCUGCAGUCGGUGUUUCCAGGUUUUCAUCAGUUGGGCCCCAGCACAGCGCGUUUAUCGACUAUUCAGUCCGCCAAGUACACGGUGGAGGGUGUUUCGCAGGUAUACUUCAACGGCAGCCCACUCGACAUCCGCGUCCGUGUGCAGCACUGGCUAUCUGACAAAGGUACGCCGGACUUCUGGCGCGUCGUGCUGAGCACGCAGAACAUCAUGGCGGAGCGGGAUCUGGUCUCCCUGCAGUCUAGCAUUCGAGAAGGCUUAACCAAACUAAACCUGCUGUGCAACGCGACGUCGUCGAGCUGCGCCAACGAGCUCGAUCUCUACCUCCGGUGAGUCAAGCGCUUUUCUUACUGUUUGGUUCUCUUCAGCGGCCUAUAGUUCACAUGGGGCACACGCUUCGACUCGCUUUUCUGCGACGCUCUCGAAGACGACGUACGGGCGCGCGUCUAAUGCACUCGAAAGGCAGCGGAAUAGAGAGGGGGGCGGGCACACGAAUGCGACGCACAGCACCGCCUGUCGGACUCUUCGAGCGUGGCAGAAUCGACCCACUGACUCUUGCUACCUGGCAUGUUUACUUGUUCUUCGUCAUCACACACUCCUUCCGUUGCGGCGCACUGCUCACUAUCCGUCCUUACGGUGUUUCUUUCUGUUUGUUUUGUUGUCGGUGUUUCGCCUGUGUUUGGUGGCUGGCACGUCUCUCGCUCUCUCCACUCCUUCUGCUCGUACGGCCCGUCCACGCUGUCCCUGUCCUUUGCAUCUGCGCCGCUCUGGCGCCACAG